CCCCUGGCUCUCGGGCGCCGCCAGGCGGGAGGGCACGCGGCGCGGCGGAACUCACUGUGGCGGCGAAUCGGACCGAGCCGGCAGGCCCGAGCCGGCAGGCCCGAGCCUCCUCCUUCGAGGCGGCAGCCGCGCUUCCGGGAAGAAGACUGUCGAAAAGAAAGGUCAGGCCUUUAUCUCUCCAUCGCAGAGCUACUAACUGGAUGAACUGAAUUUCAAACCCAAGCAAACAGUUUUCAGACCUGUCUUAAUAUCUGGGUGGAAGCACUAUGCUGAGCAGUUCACCAAGAGACAAGGAGCCAGGCAAAGCAGCACUAGCUUCUGUCCGCAAGGAAGGAACCGUUCGUUGCCUGCACCCAUACCAAAGAUAGGAGUAAUUCAAAUCAAAGAGGAAGAAAUCUCCAAAGGACAAGUACCCACCCCCCAGCUGGAGAGGAGGCUUCUGAGUUUACCAGCCUGGCAGUACUGUCAACUACCUACUGGAUAUUUUGUGCCCAACUGCCUAAGCCUCACUUCUUGCUGCCUCUCACAAUAGCAACAAUGUUCAUUGCUGCAUAGUAGGUAUCUCCUGUGGUUCGGACCUAGUCCCCAGUCAGUGACCACAAUGGAGACCAUGGGACCUCUAAGAGCUGGGCCAACUGAAAGGUUUUCCAGUCACCAAGGCACCAAGAGAAGCCAACUUUUUCCUCUGUUUGUGCUUUCUGGCCAGCAUGAAGUGAACAGCUCUGCUCCGUCAUGACUCCCUUCCAUGUGAGCUGCCUCACCACCUGCCCAGGACAGCAGGGCCAAGGUCCAUGAUCUGUCAUCUCUGAAACCAUAAGCCAAAGCAAAAGCUGUUCGUAAAAGUUGUUUAUUGCAAGUAUUUGGUCACAGUGACACAAAGCUAACAAAAUGCUCUGAAUUAUGUAUGGAGCAGUUUGAUGAGUUUAUGGGUCAUUUUGGUAUUUAAGAUUGGUAGAUACUGCCUCUUCUGCCAGAGGGUAGAAGUCACUCUUUUCCCUGAUUUCAGCUAAUGACCAUUCACAGGAGGACUCGGUGUUUGACAGAGUUGAGCAACAUCAUGGCGAGGUGUGGGGACUGACAUUACAGUGCCACAAGCCAUCAGAAAUAAAACGUCAGAGAACUUCUUUUUAAAGGUCCCUGUCCCACAAGCCCCUCUGUGGCUCCUAUCCAGCCCUCUCCUCUGCUGCCCAGCUCCUCAGGCCACAUGUGCUUUCACAAACAACAGGUCUCUCCCAGUUUCUUCUGCAGAACAGCUGGCUCUCCUCAGCCCCCAACCACAUGCUUCCCUGAGGAGACCACACAUUGGUUUGGAAUGCCAGGCCUGCUCCUAGGCAGCUUGUUCACAGCUGACAGCUAAUAUCCUGCCCUUGCAGGGGAGAGGAAGUCUCUCUGGAUCAAGAUGACACCACUUACCCCAGAUCAUCUGGGCACUACUUUAACACCUUCCCUUUUUUGUGACCAAAGUCCUGGGCUAAACACCUAGGUGGUAUCUGGUUCCUUUCUUUAUGGGCCCUGGCCACCACUCUGAAAUAAAAAGGGCCCGGUAGUGAUUUGAUUUGAAUUGUACCUCCCUUAGAAGACACUACACUGGCAGAUUGCUUUUUGUUAUGUCUAAUAACUAUGAACUGGCAAUCUAGGAAUUCACAGGGUUGGGUACGCAGGACAACAAGGUGGACAAAAUACAGCAAGACUUGGAGGAGUAAUUACCUUUUAAAAAAUGAACAAAUAGAAGAUAAAUUUAUUUACUUAUUUUUUAGCAGUUACUGGGAACAGAACCCAAGGCCUUACAUAUGCUAGGCAAAUAUUCUUCCACUGAGCUACAUCCUUAGCCCUUUUUAUUUGGAACAGAGUCUUGCUAAUUUUCCCAGGAGGAAGGCAGAUAAUUCCUGGGCACGAAAAAGAUAUAUCAGAGGGUAUUUAAAUGCAGAGACAAUCUAUUUCACACAGACAAAUAUAAUUUAUAUACCAUGAAAUUUACCAAUUUUAAGUGUAUAAUUUAAUACUUUUUUGUUUGUUUUUUGUAAUGUGGCUGUUGAACCAAAGGUUACUCUAUCACUGAGCUACAUCUCUAGCCCUUUUUAUUUUUUCUUACAAGGCAGCGCCUCCCUAAGCUACCUAAGAUGCCUCAAAUUCAUUGCCCUCCUGCGUCAGCCUCCUGAGUAGCUGGGAUUAUAGGUGUUCACCGAUGCCCUGUGUACUACUUUAAUGAGUGUGUGUGUGUGUGUGUGUGAGAGAGAGAGAGAGAAAGAGAGAGAGAGAGAGAGAGAGAGAGAGAGAGAGACGGAGACAGAGACAGAGACAGAGACAGAGUGAAAGAGAGAAAUAGCGUUGGAAGAGUCAGGAGAAUCCUCCAGAGACACCCUCCCUCACACUCUUAACCCCACCCCUGUCAGCACUGGAUCUGUGGUCACUGUACUUUUGUAACUUGGCUAGUUUUAUUUUGUCCUCCUAUCUACAAUUUCUAGAGAAACAUUAAGCUGGGUUGGACUAGAUUUCUCAUGCCAUGGAGUCAGAGGCCAAAGAUGACCAAAUGGCUGACCCAUGCAGGAGUGGCCCAGAUCAGCUGCCCCAAGAGAGCACGGGGCUGAUCUCCUGAGGUGGGAAGAACUGCUGGUCACUAAGACUGCAGAGCCCAUGCCAAGAAUCAGGGACUCAGGGGAGAGAGAGAGAGAGAGAGAGAGAGAGAAACAAACCAGCCCCCAGAAGGCCAGUGAAGACGGGCGAGUUAGGUAAAGGCUGGGCAGUGGUGUGACUCCACUGCGAGCCCAGUUCCAUCCUGAGCUGAGCUGGCUCCUCAGUGCUUCCUCUUAUCAGUGCUUUCAGUCCCACCUACCUGCCUGUCCCCAUUUCUCCUUUCUGGAAGAGGUUACGGUGACUCCCAGGCUUGCAGAAGAUCAAAAUGUGAUACCCUGAAUGACACUGUAGAAAACCAGCAUAUGUCACCUCAAAACAUCCUCUUUGGAAUAGGAAUUAUUUUGAGAUAAAGCAGCCAAAGAAGCUCUGAAAACAAAAUCAAAGUUUACCUUUUCAUAAGAGAAAUCAGCAUUACACGAACGAUCUGCAUCUUUGGGCACAUCUCCCUCUGCUCACCCAGGCAGAGGAGAGAACAGUAAGUCACCAGACUAUUGAUGAUAAGGACACCAACAGGACCCAUGUAACUCACCGUGCCCUGUUCCCACGCUUUCCCCACCACCCCUGGGAACUGUCUGACCCAGACCCGCUGUGUUUCAGCUGGAGAUGGACCAGAAGCCGGAACUCUCAGCCACCUUUCUAGGUUUACUCAUUUCUCUGGGUGUCUUCUACUAUGCACAAGGCAUAUAGACUAAAGCUUCUAUUUGUUUUUCUCUUUUUAAUCUGUGUUUUGUUACAAGGUGUGCCACUCAGAGACACAGAAAGGACAGAAAGAAAAUUGUUUUUCUUCCUAUACAGCUUUGGUGACCCAGAUGGAACCUUGGGAUGCUCUGGAACCUACUGGGAGAACCUUGGGAAAACCAGAAUAGAGCAAAAGAGUCUCUUGGGUCUCUGUCCUGUAGCACCCUGUCAUGCAAAGCAGGUGCACACUUCUUCGUGUCCUUUCUGCCCCAAAUUCAUAUUGGCAGAAGACAAUAUUUGUAAGAAUUAAAAAUUUUUUGUAAUGUGCCCAUGAUUAAAUUCAGUUUUAGGGUAACUAUUGGUUA